UACGGAGGAUUCAAGCGUUAUCCGGAUUUAUUGGGUUUAAAGGGUGCGCAGGCGGAGGCACAAGUCAGCGGUAAAAUCGCGGGGCUCAACCCCGCUCCGCCGUUGAAACUGUGUCCCUUGAGUGCGCGAAGGGUAGGCGGAAUGCGUGGUGUAGCGGUGAAAUGCAUAGAUAUCACGCAGAACCCCGAUUGCGAAGGCAGCAUACCGGCGCUCAACUGACGCUGAGGCACGAAAGUGCGGGUAUCGAACAGG
rnacentral:rRNA from 1 species